rnacentral:rRNA from 1 species
UACGGGGGGGGCAAGCGUUGUUCGGAAUUACUGGGCGUAAAGGGCUCGUAGGCGGCCAACUAAGUCGGAUGUGAAAUCCCCAGGCUUAACCUGGGAACUGCGUCUGAUACUGGAUGGCUUGAGAUUGGGAGAGGGAUGCGGAAUUCCAGGUGUAGCGGUGAAAUGCGUAGAUAUCUGGAGGAACACCGGUGGCGAAGGCGGCAUCCUGGACCAACACUGACACUGAGGAGCGAAAGCCAGGGGAGCAAACGGG